UACGUAGGGCGCAAGCGUUGUCCGGAAUUAUUGGGCGUAAAGAGCUCGUAGGCGGUCUGUCGCGUCUGCUGUGAAAACUCGGGGCUUAACCCCGGGCCUGCAGUGGGUACGGGCAGACUAGAGUGCGGUAGGGGAGACUGGAAUUCCUGGUGUAGCGGUGAAAUGCGCAGAUAUCAGGAGGAACACCGGUGGCGAAGGCGGGUCCCUGGGCCGUAACUGACGCUGAGGAGCGAAAGCAUGGGGAGCGAACAGG
rnacentral:rRNA from 1 species